UACGGAGGGGGCUAGCGUUGUCCGAAGUUACUGGGCGUAAAGCGCGCGUAGGCGGGUUGGUAAGUCCGCUGUGAAAGCCCGGAGCUUAACUCCGGAGGGUCGGUGGAUACUGCCAGUCUUGAAGGUGCUAGGGGGAGAUGGAAUUACCGGUGUAGCGGUGAAAUGCGUAGAUAAUCGGUAGGAACACCAGUGGCGAAGGCGGU
rnacentral:rRNA from 1 species